rnacentral:lncRNA from 1 species
GUCCUUCCCCCAUCCUCGGUCGCCAGCGCUUCUCCGGCAGCCUCGUCCUGAAAUCGUGCGAUUGUGAGCUAGAAGCCUUCUGGGUCACUCAUAAACCAAAGAGAAAAUAAGGCAGCACAUAUUUCCCAUAGAAAUGUGGAAUGUAAGAAAGGCACAUAAAGCAAUCCAAGUUGCCUGCAGAUAUCCACAGCCUACUUCAGUCUCAGUAAUGCUCUUUUAACCUGGUGCAUCAGUUUAAGGGAAGACAUGAGAUCAUGGGUUUAAGUGAGGCUUCAUCAUGCCAAGACAACGUGAUCAGUUAUUCCCAACCUAUAUAACUCACAUACACUGGAGGAAAUAUCUUCAUGGAAUUAAAACCACAUGGAGUAACAUUUCACGUAAGCAGAAUUCAGGAAUGAUUUCAGUAAUUCCAUCCCAAACACACACAGGCAAAGGGAGUGAAGAUUUCUUCAGCAACAUGGUGGCAGAAAGAUCAUGAAAAGAUCUAGGCCAGUCCAAGCUCACUGCAGUUAAAUCUUCAGUCUCCAGCACUGCACUUGGGAAAGCGUCAAGGAGUUGAAUGUAUAUGUAAUUGGAGUGCCAGAAGAAGAGAACUGAGAGAGAGGGGCAGAACAGCUCAUGAGGGGGAAAACCCACUACAUACAAACAAGAAUACUGCAGACUCCUCAUCAGAAUCUAUGCUACCUGUAAAGGCUUGUAAAAGCACAGAGCUGCUCUCACCAUGCAGCCAAAGAAGAAAUGAGGAUAUCGGUCCUAUAACUGCAAGGAACUGAAUGCUGCCAACCACCUGAACGGACUUGGGCUACUGAGAAGAAGCUAUUCUAGCAAAGCUGGAGGAAUUCCACCAGACUGACAGAACAACACAAAUAAGUCCAUGCCUGACGCACAGCAGGGGCUCAAGGCAAGUUUGUGGACUCGAAGCCCUGUUAGAAUGGAUGGAAUUUGGUCUUAUGAAGC